CCAGACUCCUACGGGAGGCAGCAGUGGGGAAUAUUGCACAAUGGGCGAAAGCCUGAUGCAGCAACGCCGCGUGAAGGAAGAAGGGUUUCGGCUCGUAAACUUCUAUCAACAGGGACGAAAGAAAUGACGGUACCUGAAUAAGAAGCCCCGGCUAACUACGUGCCGGCAGCCGCGGGAAUACGUAGGGGGCAAGCGUUAUCCGGAUUUACUGGGUGUAAAGGGAGCGUAGACGGCAUGGCAAGUCUGAAGUGAAAGCCCGGGGCUCAACCGCGGGACUGCUUUGGAAACUGUUAAGCUGGAGUGCAGGAGAGGUAAGUGGAAUUCCUAGUGUAGCGGUGAAAUGCGUAGAUAUUAGGAGGAACACCAGUGGCGAAGGCGGCUUACUGGACUGUAACUGACGUUGAGGCCCGAAAGCGUGGGGAGCAAACAGGAUUAGAUCCCCCUGUA
rnacentral:rRNA from 1 species